rnacentral:rRNA from 1 species
AGAGUUUGAUCCUGGCUCAGGAUGAACGCUAGCGGCAGGCCUCAUACAUGCAAGUCGAGGGGCAGCAUGACAUUUCGGUGUUGAUGGCGACCGGCGGACGGGUGCGUAACACGUGUGCAAUCUACCUUGUACUGGGGAAUAACCAUUGGAAACGAUGACUAAUACCCCAUAUUAUCCUUUUUCCGCAUGGAGGAAGGAUGAAAGCUCCGGCGGUACAAGAUGAGCACGCGGCCCAUUAGCUAGUUGGUGAGGUAAUGGCUCACCAAGGCUACGAUGGGUAGGGGCUCUGAGAGGAGUAUCCCCCACACUGGCACUGAGACACGGGCCAGACUCCUACGGGAGGCAGCAGUAGGGAAUAUUGGUCAAUGGGCGCAAGCCUGAACCAGCCAUGCCGCGUGCAGGAUGAAGGUCCUUAGGAUUGUAAACUGCUUUUGUACAGGAACAAUAACCCCCUGCGGGGGGCCAUGAGCGUACUGUAAGAAUAAGCGCCGGCUAACUACGUGCCAGCAGCCGCGGUAAUACGUAGGGCGCAAGCGUUAUCCGGAUUCAUUGGGUUUAAAGGGUGCGUAGGCGGUAAGAUAAGUCAGUGGUGAAAGCCAGCAGCUCAACUGUUGAAUGGCCAUUGAUACUGUCUUGCUAGAGUUCAGUC